rnacentral:rRNA from 1 species
GUUGUUUUCUCGAAAAUCAAUUAAAAAUGGCUUGAUUUUGUGUUGUAUUGACCUUAAAAGCUUUCUUCACUUUUUUCAUGUCUUUUUUAAUGCACUUUUCGUUUAACAAGUCAACAUCAGUUUCUUUUGUUGUAAAAAGGUCAUUGGAAGGUGGCUUUCUUUUCGGAGAAAGUGUUUAUAGCCUUUGACUCCUGCAAUCGGAGAGACUGAGGUCUGCAGCGUAGAUCCUUCUUGGAUUAGAUUCACUUGUGCUAAGUUAUAGCUUUUCAUAGACAACUUGUUGACUAUGUUUAGUCUUGUAGCUUACUCGCUUGUGUAAUUUUACCUAC